AUUGAACGCUGGCGGCAUGCCUUACACAUGCAAGUCGAACGGCAGCACGGGUGCUUGCACCUGGUGGCGAGUGGCGAACGGGUGAGUAAUAUAUCGGAACGUACCUUAUUGUGGGGGAUAACGCAGCGAAAGCUGUGCUAAUACCGCAUAAUCCCUAAGGGGGAAAGCGGGGGACCGUAAGGCCUCGCGCAAUUAGAGCGGCCGAUACCUGAUUAGCUAGUUGGUGAGGUAAAGGCUCACCAAGGCAACGAUCAGUAGCUGGUCUGAGAGGACGAUCAGCCACACUGGAACUGAUACGCGGCCCAGACUCCUACGGGAGGCAGCAGUGGCGAAUUUUGGACAAUGCGGGCAACCCUUAUCCAUCAAUGCCGCGUGAGUGAAGAAGGCCUUCGGGUUGUAAAGCUCUUUUGUCAGGGAAGAAACAGCAUCUCUAACACAGUUUGCGAAUGACGGUACCUGAAGAAUAAGCACCGGCUAACUACGUGCCAGCCGCCGCAGUAA
rnacentral:rRNA from 1 species